CACCCGGUAGCACAUGGUGUGCAUCUGCCGUCUUUAAUGAAGUAACGAACUCAGAAGUCUGCAGAAGGUCCCCCGUUCAAUCCGGGGCCGGGUGA